GAUGAACGCUGGCGGCGUGCUUAACACAUGCAAGUCGAACGAACCUUCGGGUUAGUGGCGGACGGGUGAGUAACGCGUGAGAAUCUGCCCUCAGGAGGGGGAUAACGGGCUGGAAACGGCCGCUAAUACCCCAUAUGCCGAGAGGUGAAAUGAAUUUCGCCUGAGGAUGAGCUCGCGUCUGAUUAGCUUGUUGGUGGGGUAAUGGCCUACCAAGGCGACGAUCAGUAGCUGGUCUGAGAGGAUGAUCAGCCACACUGGGACUGAGACACGGCCCAGACUCCUACGGGAGGCAGCAGUGGGGAAUUUUCCGCAAUGGGCGAAAGCCUGACGGAGCAACGCCGCGUGAGGGAUGAAGGCCUCUGGGCUGUAAACCUCUUUUAUCAAGGAAGAAGAUCUGACGGUACUUGAUGAAUAAGCCACGGCUAAUUCCGUG
rnacentral:rRNA from 1 species